ensembl:lncRNA
AACUUGGAAAGAAGAACUCAAGACUCCAGACUGUUCAAUGCUAUUUAAUGUCUGACUAAAGGUCACCUCUUCCGAGAAGCCUUCCUUGAACUCAUCCCAUCUUCUGUGUUACAUCGCAUGUACCUUGACUGCUGCAAAGUCACUUCAGUCGUGUCUGACUCUGUGCGACCCCAUAGACGGCAGCCCACCAGGCUCCCCUGUCCCUGGGAUUCUCCAGGCAAGAACACUGGAGUGGGUUGCCAUUUCCUUCUCCAAUGCAUGAAAGUGAAAAGUGAAAGUGAAGUCGCUCAGUCGUGUCCAACUCUUAGCAACCCCAUGGACUGCAGCCUACCAGGCUCCUCCGUCCAUGGGAUUUUCCAGGCAAGAGUACUGGAGUGGGGUGCCAUUGCCUUCUCCGGUAUACCUCAACAGGACACCCUUUAUCACAACAAGCCACUUUAGUGGAAUCUGUCCCUGCUGGAGUGAGACAUCCUUGAGAUAAGGGACUGCGUCUUAUUCACCUCGUGUGAUGGGAAAAAAAAAAUCUCCUGGAGCUCAAAGCAGCUUGUCCAGGUUCCCCCAGGGAGUGAGUGGCAGAGCUGGGGUUUGAAUCCAAGAUGCUUUUGCACCUCCUUCACCACCAGCGCUGCCGUGGUGUUUGUUCAGCAUCCAGCGGAGGGCAGCAUGGCCCUCACGGCGGGCCCUCUCAACUGGGCUGUGGAGCAGCUGGAAGUACAGAGCCCAGCUCCCCCACCAUCCUGGGAGAAAGAAACUGCAAAGAGGGGAAAAGAAUUUGACCUUCAUGGAGCUCACAAUCCACUGGAGAGAUGGCUCAGACACCAGUGGAGGAGCCAAUAGAACAAAUGCAGUCCAUCACGAAAACUCUUUUUAAAAUGUAUUGUGUGUAGGAAUGACAACCCUCAUAGAAAAUCCCAGGAUUUUCUCUUCUGUGUGUUUCUGUCUCGCUUUCUUGCAGCCAUGAUACUAGCUGAGGUCAUCGGUGCAAUGAGAUGAAAGAAGAUGAUUCUGUCACUUUUCUAGAUCUUUGAGUGAUACGUCAAGUUCAGGGCUAAUCACAUUUACUUAACCUGUGUGUGAGUUUCACAAUGAUGUUCUUGCUCUGUGAUCAUCAAUGAUUUCCAGUUCGCCGAUGUAGCCAUGCUUCA